rnacentral:lncRNA from 1 species
GCAUCUCUUAGUAAAACAUUGCUUUAGGCUACAAAACAGCAAUAAGCUCUAGACGAAAGUUUAGAUCAUUCACUUCCAUAAUAGCAGAGAAAAGUUCAACGAAAGUUUUCUUCUUAAGGUCAUUUGGAUGGAUAGAUAGACAGAGCAGGUACUAGACCUGAAAUUCAAAUUUUGUCUUCAUUGUUGUAGGCUAAAGUGACUUAUAAUUGCUUACAUUGAACUCAUUUGAACACUGGUGGAAAUUUGUCUCUUUAGGAAUCAUACCACAUCUCCUUAUUAAAACAUAAAUAUUUGUAUUUGCUUAUAAACUUAUUUGC